rnacentral:tRNA from 1 species
CAGGACAUGGUUUAUAAGAAUUUUGGCUUUGGGAGUUAGAGGUGUCUGGGUCUGUCAGACUGUCCUGA